rnacentral:tRNA from 1 species
GCCGGGGUGGCGAAAUGGCAGACGCGCCAGCCUUAGGAGCUGGUGGGAGCAAUCCCAUGGAGGUUCAAGUCCUCUCCCCGGCACCA